GGCAGAGGUUGCAGUGAGCUGAGAUCACGCCAUUGCACUCCAGCCUGGGUGACAGAGAAAGACUCUAAAAAAAAAAAAAAAAAAAAAUUAAGAGAAGUUAUGAAAAAAAGGUAAGACACACACAAGACCUUCAGAAGGUCAUGCAAUCAAUAGGAGUCCCAGAAAGAAGAGAGACAAAUGGAGGGUAGGGCUAAAAUAAUGAGCGAUUUUUUUUGUAUACCAGAUAUAUGAUAUUGUACUGACUCCUGGGAGGAAUACAAAUGUGCACAGUUGCUUGAAAGCAUCAAUUUGACAGUGUUUCUUAAAAUUAAAAAUUUCCAUAUUCUCUUGGUGAAAAUAUCUUUUUUUUUUUUUUUUUUUUUUUUUUUUUUUUUUUUUGAGACAGAGUCUCAGUCUGUCGCCCAGGCUGGAAACCCUUGCCUCCCGGGUUCAAGUAAUUCUCAUGCCUCAGCCUCCCAAGUGGCUGGGACCACAGGCACGCACUGCCACGCCCAGCUAAUUUUGCAUUUUUAGCAGAGACAGGGUUUCACCAUGUUGGUCAGGCUGGUCUCGAACUCCUGACCUCAGAUGAUCCAUGGGGUGAGUUCUUUUUAAGUUAAUGAAGAAGGAUAUGCACAAUAUGUGAGGCAAAAAUAAGUAAAUAAAUAGCAGUUUACAGAACAAAAGGUAUAGAAGGAUCUGGUUCUCUAAGAGUUCAAUUUCUAUGAAAGUGAAAUAUGCUAUUAUUCCUAGGUUAAAGGAAAUAAGGAUUGAUUUUGCGCCUCUGACUUACUUUUUCCUUUAUUAUUUUUUUUGAGACUGAGUUUAGCUCUAUUGCCCAGACUGGAGUGCAGUGGACUCGAUCCACUGCACUUGGCAAUCUCGGCUCCACAGCACUCAAUCCACUAUACUCGACAAUCUCAACUCCCUGCAACCUCUGCCUCCCAGGUUCAAGAGAUUCUCCUGCUUCAGCAUCCCAAGUAGCUGGGAUUACAGGAGCGUGCCACCACACCUGGCUAAUUUUUGUAUUUUUAGUAGAGGCAGGGUUUCACUGUGUUGGCCAGGCUGGUCUUGAACUCCUGACCUCAGGUGAUCCGCCCACCUUGGCCUCCCAAAGUGCUGAGAUUACAGGUGUGAGCCACCCCGCCCAGCCAUAGUUCCUCUUACUUUCAAAAGAUAAAAUUUCAUUUGCAUCCACUGAAGUACAAUUAAACAAAAAAGAAUACACUUCAGCUUUGGCUGUUUCUCCACUUAUACCUGCUUGGUCACUUUUUUGGCGGAGGAGAAUGCAGUUAAAAAGGACAUGUCCCCGGGGAUUCGAAUACACUUCUCAAAGUGUACUGCUGGCCCUCUGUAUCCAUGGGUUCUGCAUCUGUAGAUUCGAUCAACUGUAGAUCAAAAGUAUUCAGAAAAAAAAUUGUCUCUACUGCACACACAGGCACUCUACGGAUGUCAUGUGAAGAAAUC
rnacentral:lncRNA from 10 species